rnacentral:snRNA from 1 species
GGAACCGGGACGUGGCGG